rnacentral:rRNA from 1 species
CCUACGGGAGGCAGCAGUGGGGAAUCUUGCGCAAUGGGCGAAAGCCUGACGCAGCAACGCCGCGUGCGGGAAGAAGGCUUUCGGGCUGUAAACCGCUUUCAGCAGGAACGAAAAUGACGGUACCUGCAGAAGAAGGAGCGGCCAACUAUGUGCCAGCAGCCGCGGUGAUACAUAGGCUUCAAGCGUUGUCCGGAUUUAUUGGGCGUAAAGAGUUCGUAGGCGGUCGAGUAAGUCGGGUGUGAAAAUUCUGGGCUCAACCCAGAGACGCCACCCGAUACUGCUUGACUUGAGUUCGAUAGGGGAGUGGGGAAUUCCUAGUGUAGCGGUGAAAUGCGCAGAUAUUAGGAGGAACACCGGUGGCGAAGGCGCCACUCUGGAUCGAUACUGACGCUGAGGAACGAAAGCAUGGGUAGCAAACAGGAUUAGAUACCCUGGUAGUCCAUGCCGUAAACGGUGGGCACUAGGUGUGGGUUUCUAUUAACGAAAUCCGCGCCGUCGCUAACGCAUUAAGUGCCCCGCCUGGGGAGUACGGUCGCAAGCUAAACUCAAAGGAUUGACGG